rnacentral:lncRNA from 1 species
CUCAGUAUUAAAUAACUAAAAAAAUAGUAAUGUGUUCCCCUCCCCCCAACUGCUUUAAGCUCAACACUGACGAAGCUUGCACUUGUAAUCCUGACGAAGAAGGCAUAGGUGGGGUAAUUAGAAACAAUAGGGGGAACUGGGUAAUGGACUUCCUCCAAAGUUUCUUGCAUGCCUCCAACAAUCAUAUGGAGUUGAUGGCUCUACGGAAGGGGCUUAAGCUGGCUUUACAGCUUAACCUCACCCCUUGAAGUCAAUGUCAAAUCCACAAAGGUAUUUCACAUGUUGGCUAUGGGUAAUCCAUUAUAUGAUCCUCUUAUCUAUGAAUGCAGGUCUCUGAUAAGAAGGUUGGGAAGACCAAUCGUGCAUCAUUGCUUUAGGGAGUAAAACUAUGUUGUCGAUGCAUUAGUAAAGAAAGGAGCAG